CAGAUGAGCCUUCUAAAACACAGAGAGGUUAAGUACUAUGACUGUAUCACACAGCCUGUACCUACGACAGCUGAGAUUUGUACUUGGCCACAUCUCCAAAGACACUCUUGGCUCCUCUAUCACAGACAAGAGAAAAGAAAACCAGAAAGUAAUAAAGGACUUGAAGAAGUAUAUUCCUCAAGCUUGGAAGCCCCACACAGGCAGUCCCUGUUGUCCUGCUCAAAGAGGGACCCACCCAGGGGGAAGACAAGCUGUGCUCCUUGAUGCCAGCCUGGAAGGUCCCAUGGCCAGACUUGGGAAAAUGG
rnacentral:lncRNA from 1 species